AUACGGAGGGUGCAAGCGUUACUCGGAAUCACUGGGCGUAAAUCGCGCGCAGGCGGUCUUUUAAGUUGGAUGUGAAAGCCUACGGCUCAACCGUAGAACUGCAUCCAAAACUAUUAGACUAGAGUGUGGGAGAGGAAGAUGGAAUUAGUUGUGUAGGGGUAAAAUCCGUAGAGAUAACUAGGAAUACCAAAAGCGAAGGCAAUCUUCUGGAACACUACUGACGCUGAGGCGCGAAAGCGUGGGGAGCAAACAGGAUUAGAAACCCUAGUAGUCC
rnacentral:rRNA from 1 species